AAUAUAGGAUACCAAAUUAAAUUUGAAUUUCAGAUAAACAACUAAUUUUUUUAGUAUACAUACGUGCCAUGCAAUAUUUGGGACAUAUUUAUGCUAAAAAAUUAUCUGUUGUUUAUCUGAACUUCACAUUUAACUAAUAAUCCUGUAUUUU
rnacentral:miRNA from 1 species